rnacentral:sRNA from 1 species
CUUUUUCGUUUGCCCGGCAGGGUGAGAACCUCAGGUUCGACAAGCCGCCGCAGGCGGCGCAGAACGUCGUCGCAAAGCGACGGCGGCCCGAAGGGCGAGCCGCGAAGCGGCGAGUAAUCCUGUCGGGCGCGCCA